rnacentral:misc_RNA from 1 species
AUCAUACGCUGAAGUGCCGCGACGAAAAAAGGAAGUUAUAAUCUGGUUCAACAGGAAAUUGAAUGCAAGAAUACCUUGUCAUUUUACAGGAAAAGACGAUUUUGAUGAUGGAUCAAUCUACUUUGUACCUAUGGUUGUUUUUAGUAUUAAUGGUGGCAACAACCUCAGCAAACAAUUUUACGUUUGAGGCCAACGAAACAAAGCGGUUUGUUUAUGGACAUGAUGGAAUGCAGAUGUAUUGCACUGUUUGUGCAACUGGAAUGUAUGAUAAAGAAUCCAAUCCUGAGUGUAUAAAAAAUAAUAACCUUCAAAUGCCAGGCGGGGGACAAACACCGAUGUGCAAGGAGAGCGCAACGGGCGGGGUCAUUCCAGGCUGUGGACCUUUGCCAAUGUCAGAUGGACUUUUCUGGAAGACGAAGUCCGGUAGACAAGUUCAGACCAAUAGCACGGUGUAUGAAGUGUAUACCCCGCAGUGUAGAAACGGCGAAUUAAACAGAGACACAGCUAAUGUCCGCUGUUGGGAGACAUUAAGGUGGGAUGUCGACCCAGCUGACUUCCGGUGCACAGAUAUUCCAUUCUGUUCUACUAUCUGCAUUAUUGCCGGCGGAAAACACCUGUCCCCACCGAGGAGCCUGAUGAUGCCCCAUUGAAGGAAUCCAAAUACACAGUCAGCAAUACCUCCGGGGGGCAGAAACCUGAAACAAAGGGGGAUUCAAAGGGGGAUUUUGUACAAAUGACAGUUGCGAAACAGGAAUCGGCUUCUGCCUGAGUACAAAAACUUCCGCGACUCACGUGAUUUAUAAUAAUGACACAAAUGAAAACUGACAGGGAACAUCCAUAUUCUCAUUUAGAUACGGACAUAAAUGCAUUUAAUUACACCUGUAUUGAAUGUGGCAUAAUAAUUGCCUCUGUAGUAGAAUGUUUAGUUCCCGCUCUUCAUUUUUUAUACAAUUUUAUUUGACGCGGAAAAUAUCAAAUUUCUUGCAUGUGAAUUUUUGGUAUAAACAAACAAUGUGGCUUAUUUAUCAAACACUUUUUAUAUUUCAAUACUGUAUGUCCUUUUCUAACGUCAAAUAUGUAUUAAAACUGUGAGAUCUUUGUUUUACUGCAUACUUGUUUGUGCUUUUUCCAAAUUUUCAAAUAAAACUUAUAAAUUG